rnacentral:misc_RNA from 1 species
UGGUUUAAGCUCUGAUAUUCAAGCUUGCCAAGGUCAAGGCAUCAAAGUCCUAUUGUCCAUUGGAGGAGGUGGAGGCAGCUACUCACUUUCAUCGGCCGAUGAUGCAACCCAAGUUGCUAACUAUCUUUGGAAUAACUUCCUUGGUGGUACGUCCAAUUCACGACCACUAGGCGAUGCCAUUUUGGAUGGUAUUGAUUUUGAUAUUGAGGCAGGUUCAGGCCAAUUCUGGGACGAUCUUGCCAGGGCCCUUAAUGGGUUU